GAUCCUGGCUCAGAAUCAACGCUGGCGGCGCGCCUAACACAUGCAAGUCGAACGAGAAAGUGGAGCAAUCCAUGAGUAAAGUGGCGUACGGGUGAGUAACACGUGGAUCAUCUGCCCUUUUGUGGGGAAUACCGCUGGGAAACCGGCGACAAUACCGCAUAAGCCCGAGAGGGGAAAGCAGCAAUGCGCAGAAGGAGGAGUCCGCGGUCGAUUAGUUAGUUGGCAGGGUAAAGGCCUACCAAGACUGUGAUCGAUAGCCGGCCUGAGAGGGCACACGGCCACACUGGCACUGAAACACGGGCCAGACUCCUACGGGAGGCAGCAGUGGGGAAUCUUGCACAAUGGGGGAAACCCUGAUGCAGCGACGCCGCGUGAGCGAUGAAGCCCCUCGGGGUGUAAAGCUCUUUCGGCAGGGAAGAUUAUGGCGGUACCUGCAAAAGCAGCUGCGGCUAACUACGUGCCAGCAGCCGCGGUAAUACGUAGGCAGCAAGCGUUGUUCGGAGUUACUGGGCGUAAAGGGUGCGUAGGCGGCUUUUUAAGUUUGGUGUGAAAUCUCCCGGCUCAACUGGGAGGGUGCGCCGAAUACUGAGAGGCUAGAGUGUGGGAGAGGAAAGUGGAAUUCCUGGUGUAGCGGUGAAAUGCGUAGAUAUCAGGAGGAACACCGGUGGUGUAAACGGCUUUCUGGACCAU
rnacentral:rRNA from 1 species